rnacentral:rRNA from 1 species
CCUACGGGUGGCAGCAGUGAGGAAUAUUGGUCAAUGGGCGCGAGCCUGAACCAGCCAAGUAGCGUGAAGGAUGACUGCCCUACGGGUUGUAAACUUCUUUUAUAAAGGAAUAAAGUGAGGCACGUGUGCUGUUUUGUAUGUACUUUAUGAAUAAGGAUCGGCUAACUCCGUGCCAGCAGCCGCGGUAAUACGGAGGAUCCGAGCGUUAUCCGGAUUUGUUGGGUUUAAAGGGAGCGGAGAUGGGUUGUUAAGUCAGUUGUGAAAGUUUUCGGCUCAACCGUAAAAUUGCAAUUGAUACUGGCAGCCUUGAGUACAGUUGAGGUAGGCGGAAUUCGUGGUGUAGCGGUGAAAUGCUUAGAUAUCACGAAGAACUCCGAUUGCGAAGGCAGCUUACUAAGCUGCCACUGACAUUGAUGCUCGAAAGUGUGGGUAUCAAACAGGAUUAGAUACUCCUGUAGUC